AUGUCCAACUGAGUGGUCUGCCGGGAAGCCAGUCACGCCGGGAGCUGGUACACAGCCUCAGGACCGCAGCUGAAUGCACAGCUAGAAGGUUGGCUCUCACAAGUACAGUCUACAAAAAGACCUGCUAGAGCCAUUAUUGCACCCCAUGCAGGAUAUACGUACUGUGGGUCCUGUGCUGCUCAUGCUUACAAACAAGUGGAUCCCUCCAUUACCCGGAGAAUUUUCAUCCUUGGGCCUUCUCAUCAUGUGCCCCUCUCUCGAUGUGCACUUUCCAGUGUGGAUAUAUAUAGGACACCUCUGUAUGACCUUCGUAUUGACCAAAAGAUUUACGGAGAACUAUGGAAGACAGGAAUGUUUGAACGCAUGUCUCUGCAGACAGAUGAAGAUGAACACAGUAUUGAAAUGCAUUUGCCUUAUACAGCUAAAGCCAUGGAAAGCCAUAAGGAUGAGUUUACCAUUAUUCCUGUACUGGUUGGAGCAGUAAUCUAAUUACUGCUCCAACCAGUAAUUCGGAAAACUCUUCAGUAAAUAUCUAGCGGAUCCUAGGAAUCUCUUUGUGGUUUCUUCAGAUUUCUGCCAUUGGGGUCAAAGGUUCCGUUACAGUUACUAUGAUGAAUCCCAGGGGGAGAUUUACAGAUCCAUUGAACAUCUAGAUAAAAUGGGUAUGAGUAUUAUAGAACAAUUAGACCCUGUAUCUUUUAGCAAUUACUUGAAGAAAUACCGUAAUACUAUAUGUGGAAGACAUCCCAUUGGGGGGUUAUUAAAUGCUAUCACAGAGCUCCAGAAGAAUGGAAUGAAUAUGAGCUUUUCCUUUUUGAAUUAUGCCCAGUCAAGCCAGUGUAGAAACUGGCAAGACAGUUCAGUGAGUUAUGCAGCGGGAGCACUCACAGUCCACUGAAGCUCUGAAUCCUCAGGGAUGCCACCUGCACAUACUCAUUCUCUGUCCGGGGUCCCAGCCUAGCCCUUACCAAGAUACUGGUCCUGGUUUGGGGGGAUUCUGAAACCUCAAACUAAUAGAACUUUCUUCUCUUCUUUUCUAGUAGGUGUAGUCCUUCCUUAAUUUCAACUCAUUAAAAAAUGCUUUAUAGUUUAGGG